UACGGGGGGAGCAAGCGUUGUUCGGAUUUACUGGGCGUAAAGGGCGCGUAGGCGGCCACCGCAAGUCAGUUGUGAAAUCUCUGGGCUUAACCCAGAAAGGUCAACUGAUACUGCGGGGCUAGAGUGCAGAAGGGGCAACUGGAAUUCUCGGUGUAGCGGUGAAAUGCGUAGAUAUCGAGAGGAACACCUGCGGCGAAGGCGGGUUGCUGGGCUGACACUGACGCUGAGGCGCGAAAGCUAGGGGAGCGAACAGG
rnacentral:rRNA from 1 species